ensembl:lncRNA
UUACCAUUGACAUCUUAUAUAAAGGCUAGACGUCUCAAGGCGCAGUCACUUCCGGCAUCACCGGUGGCCAUCUUGUCACAGGCAGGCUUCCUGGCGGGCUCUGUGGUACCUAAUGUAAGGUUCAGCCAAGACCACUUGGAGCUUCUCUUCAACUCCAUCAGAGCAUCUGGUAGGGUUCAUAAUUUAUAUUUACCAGCCGCAACACUAAGUGACUUGUAUUGUUUUCAGUUUGUCGGUCCAUAUGUUUUUUUACUUUUGGUAACAUGUGUUUUCUGCAGACAUACACCCUAACCUUAAGACAUACACAAUACCUGGAAGUGUCACAAACCAUUUUGAGUAUUUAGAAAAAUGCCUGUGUUUGACUAUUUGUUUGCAGAACUUAUCGUCACUGAUACAGUCUGAAUUGUAUGAUAAUGUCAUUCAACCUAUUUUAUGUGGAAAGAUCAUUCAGGGGUGGCUAGUUCUAAUUAGUAUUUUUUUGUAAAAAUGUUUUAAGCAUGAAACAUUUUAAAGCAUGUAUUGAAUAUCUGUGUACUAUACUUGUAUAUAAUUUUUUUUUUUCCUUAAACGAAUAACAACCCUAAUGCCAGCCAGUUCAAGUACAUCUUUAGGAUGUAAUGCUGAUGGCCCAGUGUGGGGUUGUUAAACCAUGCAGAGGCAAUGUGACGGCACAGGAUGACACAGAGUCCCUACCAGCUGUCAUCGACACCUCUACAAGCCUGUCAGCUGUAGAUGUGUCCUCUGCAGCAGGAGAAGAUCUUCCAUCCCCGUUUGCUGACAUUCCUGCCCUAGUACAUGAACACAGCUACCUCCCCAAUCCACUUCGAUGGUCUUGUGGACAACGCUCUCAUGUACGUUUCAGGAUUUGUUGUGCGACAGGCUCUGAAGAAGCUGUCGUGUGAUGUCUGCCGUGCCAGCCUGGUGACAGAUGCUGCAUCUGCCAUCAAGGACCAGAGCUACCACCUGCUGAAUUUAAAAACAAUGGAGGUCUGGUGAUUCCAUCAGAGGGAACCGUGCGGGUCGUCAGGGCAGCAGAGUGGGUCAUUCGGUAGUCAUCAGGCAGUACCAGACGAUCACAGCCCAUCAAACUGCUUGAGGUUGUUUACAUUGUCUGAAAAAGGAUUGGUUCAGAGGAUGUGUUUGUGUUGGGAUAGACAGUAUGGGAUAGACAGCCACCACCAUAGGCUGUUAAAAAUAAUUCUGUCCCUGUUUAAGUUAAGGCUGCACCACAUCGCCAGAAUUACAAUCCUCAGCUUACAGAGCAACAGCAUGUGACAUAAACUUAUAAAACUGUCCUUUUCAAAGGGCAUUAGCCCAAGGUAUGUGUUUUCAAGGUACUGUCCUCUCUUACUUCAACAGUAGGUUAGUGCUCUCUACAGCAUUUCUUUUUUUGGAUAUUUGUAAAGGGGAAUCAUGUACCUAUGUCACUCUUAUAAUAGUUUAAAAAUAGAGACUUGUGUAAUUAUUCCAUAUUUUUUGUAGUCAUUCUAUAUCAGAA